GUGUGUGGUUUUAUUAUUAUUGUUUCUUGUUGCUGUUCCAAAAUGCUCUCUCUUUCUCCAGAUCUGCUGUUGCAGAUGAUAAUGUUUUGUUUCAUGUCUGCUGUUGCAGAUUGUCAUGUUUUGUUUUAUAUCUGCUCUUCCAGACACAUGACUACCACUUCACAGGGGAGAAAAGCGUGCCAACACCUCUGUCGUGGACCAGUGUUCUGCAGUCGUGGACCAAGGACACAGGGGAUUCGCCCGGAACCCACUGACCAACUUGUGGUCAGGAAACCCAAGGUUUGGGUUAGGUGUUUUAUUUUAGCACAUACAUGGACACAUACCUCCUGAAUGCCAAGUAAAUAUGGCCGAGGGAUACACACACCCCAUUACAUUUAUUUAUUUCUGUUAAAUGUAUAUAUGUAAAUAUUUAUGUAUAUAUGUAAAUUUGAUUUAUAAUAUUUAAUCAAAGAAUUGGAAACGAACAUUCCUGAACAUUUGUUUAAGGUAACACACUCUGAGCACCUUUAAAACAAGCCUGAAGACUUUUAUGUUUGCAUUAGCUUUCUGCUACAUCUUAAAUACAUUGCACUUUCUAAAGCUUUUUUAAUUUUGCCUUUAUUUUCUAUUUUAAUACUAAAAUGCCUUUAACUUUCUAUUUUACUCAUUUCUCUGCAUAUUUUUUCUUUUACUUAUCUAUUUUAUUGUAUGACAAUGUUUGUAUGUGAAGCACUUUGAGUCUGCCCUUGUGUAUGAAAAGUGCUAUAUAAAUAAAGUUGCCUUGCCUAACACACAGAACAUUUCAUUUCUUUCUGUUAAAUGUAAAUAUGUAUAUAUGUAAAUUUA